GCAGUGGUGGUUCAGUGGUAGAAUACUCAUCUUCCAAGCGGGAGACCUGGGUUUGAUUCCCAGCCAAUACA
rnacentral:tRNA from 1 species